CCGAGUUUACAACUCCCAAACCCCAUGUGAACCUUUACCAUUCUGUUGCUUCGGCGGGAUCGCCCCGGGCCCCAGCGGCCCGGAACCAGGCACCCGCCGGGGGACCCAAACUCUUCUGUUUUUUUAUGGUUUUUCUUCUGAGUGGCUAUAAGCAAAACAAAUGAAUCA
rnacentral:misc_RNA from 1 species